GACGAACGCUGGCGGCGUGCUUAACACAUGCAAGUCGAACGGAAAGGCCUGCUUUCCCUUGUGGAUUGCGGGUACUCGAGUGGCGAACGGGUGAGUAACACGUGAGUGAUCUGCCCGCAACUUGGGUAUAAGCCUGGGAUACUGGGUCUAAUUCGCGAUAGGACUGCAGGGUGGUGCCUGUGGUGGAAAAGGAUUGUCUAGUGGUUGGGGAUGAGCUGGCGGCCGAUCAGCUUGUUGGUGGGGUAAUGGUCUACCGAGGGGGCGACGGGUAGGCGGCCUGGGGUAGUCGGCGUCAACAGUUGGACUGCGAUACUGCCCAGACUCCUACGGGCAGAAGCAGUCGGGAGUCAUGCGCAAUGAGUGGAAGCCUAAUGCAGCAACGCCGCGUCAGGAAUGACGGCCUUCGGGUUGUAAACUCCGUUCGACCGCGAGGAAUCCACCUGGUUGGAAGGUGAGUGACGGUAGUGGUAGAAGAAGCACCGGCUAACUACGUG
rnacentral:rRNA from 1 species